UCUCCCCACCCCUUGGAAACACCUAUUGAUAUGGAGAUGCACUAAGGCCAGGUGAGAGAUUCUGGAAAUAUUGCAAUUGUAACCACAAUGCCUCUAAAUUUCUUCCUGAAGAGUGAAAAUGAAAAUGGACCCUUGCCUCCAAGGGGAUGGUAAAGCAUUGUCUCAUUCAUCCUGACGUGAAAAGGAGACUUGAAAGGGUCUUACUUGUAUUGUGUCUGGAGGAAACAUGAGAGCAAAGAAAAAUAUCAUUUAUGUACCUCCCAGGUGCAUAGAAAUGUAAAUCAUGGACACUUGAUAUCUGAACUGUCAAGAACCUGACUAUAAAGUUGGCAGCUGUUCAGCAAAGUUGUCAUUGCCAAGUCAUUAUUAAAUUCCUCCAUAAAAUAUCCCAUUGGUUGAGUAAGGAGAAAAUUUUGGUAAGUGCCCAGAAUUCCACUUGAAAUUUGUAUAUUGUUUCCAUAUAUGAGACUAAUAAAGAUAUGCCCUCUGAAAC